GAUAAGAAUAUUGCAUUUCAAAAGUACACUACUCACAAAAAAGUAAGUCGCACUAAAAAUGGCCUAAAAUGAACUAUAACCUUCACAAGUGAACUUAAAUUGGCCUUCUCUAAACUUUUGAAUGUAUAUGUCCACCUGUUCAACGGCAAGAUUCACAACAGGUGUCCUCGUAGGACUCUUCACCACGCUGUUCAGGUUUUGAUGAAACCGAAAUAUGUGAUGAAAAGACCGUCCCCAUUCCAAGGCUUCAAACCGGAUGUUAUUGGAGGGAAAUGGCCACUGAGCUUGAGUGUCAUCAGUUAAUUGCGAGAGAGAGAGACUGGGAGAGUCACAGAAAGGCUUGACAGCUGGGCGAUGGCAUGCUUUGUGCGCUGAGGAUCCAAAGGCGCGUCGUCCGCUGCGGAGUACGGAGAGUCGACCGCAGGGGGAGUUGGGCCCAACCCGCUCACCUCCGACCGCUCGAUCUGUGGCCACGAGACAAGAAGUGAGAGACUCAGAAGAGGCUUCUGCUUUUCUGCAAAAAGUCAUCUGGAAAGUGAGAAGUGGAGAAGGCUACUUGCGGUCAAUCUUUGGAAAGUCUCAUGAACCUUUCUAUUUUGCAUUUUGACCUUUUCAAUGAAAAGAACGAAG